ensembl:snRNA U6 U6 spliceosomal RNA
GUGCUCGCUCCAGCAACACAUAUACUAAGAUGAGACUGAUACAGCAAAGAUUAACAUGGCUUCUGCACGAGGGCCACAUGCAAAUUCAUGAAGCAUCUUGCACUUCU